rnacentral:lncRNA from 1 species
UUUAUUUACUUAUUUAUCUCUAUUUCAUCAUAAGUUUGUGCAUGUUUGUCUUUUGUGUGUAUUACACUGUUUGUAUCUCUGUGUUUUUUUCCUCCCUUCUGUCUUAGUUGUCAUGUUGUGUGGUGGGAGUGAGUGUUCUUGUUCCAUUCAUGUUUUUUGUUGAGACUCCAUCUGUCUAUUACUAUGUGUGUGCCCUCCAUAAUCUGUCUAAGUGUCAUGUUUGUUCUAUGAAUUGAUUAUACCUUAACCUCUAUGUUAUUAACUGAGCUUCUAUGUUCUACUUGAGCAUGUUGGUAGAGCACUGACGAGCUUUUCUCCUCUUUGUGCUCCUCCUUGCUGCAUACCAUCUCCCCAAUGUUGUCUUGUUUCUGCACUGUACUUUAGUACACUGUGAGCUGUAAACUACAUUCCUAAUCUUACAGUUAACCUGUGAGUUCAUCCUACAUAUUAUACAAUUGUUCUCCAUACAUGGAGACCUAUUGAAAAGAUAAAUUCUACAGGCCAGGGAUUUUAUGGCCUUUCUGCUACUUUAAUCCAUAGAUUUACCUUAUCUAAUGCUUUUCUAAAAAAAAGUAUGCCAUUUCGCCACCAGGGCUAGCAUUGAUGAACAUGACACUCUGGUAUUUUUUGUUGUCAUACCAUGAGUUGGCCUUAUCUAUUUUUUCUGGCCCUUUCUGUACUGUUCCAAGAUUUACUAGUGUAGCAAGCAGAUCCAAUUUGGAUCACUUUCUAUGAUGGCCUUGUAAUUAUCCCUGGCUUCUUUGUACACUCUAAUUCUGUCCUUUUGGUUGUAGCCAGAUAAUUGCAUGUGGUGGAUGAAGUGUUUUAUGUGUUUUUCCAAUUCCAUUGGGUCACAAAAAAAAAACAACCCACAAAGAUAUUAAGGUUAGUCAUUCUAAAUUAGUGGUCUCAGAGGUGGCAUCAUGCAUAGAGCCAACCACAUCCACCAGUGCUCUCCAUUGCUGGUGGUCCCAUGCCAGCCCUUCUGCAUCCUCCAAGGUGGUGUCGAACCUCUGGAGAUCUUCUCCAUCUGUCCCAAUCAGUUGCAGUCUAACCAUCACUGCAAACACAGCUGCAAUCAACGACACUUGCAGACUUGAUCCUGUCACUCCUGAUGAAAUCAGUGCCGCCCUGAAAAAGUUUGACAACCACAAAGCUCCGGAAUUUGCACUAUCACUGUGGAAAUGUAGAAAUGGGUGAAGAAAACCUGGUCCAGCAGCUCGCAUCAUCAGCCAUGUAUGGAUGUUAGAGUGGCUCCCAAGUGAUCAGACCUAGGGCUUCAUCCUCCCUUUCUGGAAACAAAAGGGCAUCCAACUCAUCUACAGCAACCACAGGGACAUCACCUUCCUGUCCAUCUUGGGGAAGCUCUUCAUAAAGAUACUGAAUCAUAAUAAAUCAAAUAUGGAUAUAUAAUAGUUCAUUAAUGUACAAAUGUACCAAAAUGAUUUUCAUUGAAAAUGGAUGUGAAAUCAUGAAAAAGAAAAGAAAUGAUAAAAUUAUUAAGGUUAGUCUUGAUUUUUCCCUCUGGUGCUACUUUUUGGUUUAAAUUUGCUCUGAUUUUAUGUCCUUUUCUAUAUUUUCCUUCUAUUUCUCAUCUGGAUCAACUUUCAAUGUUUAUUAAGUGGGCUACUCAAAUUUUUCCUUUUUUUUUAUGUUUUCAAUUUUUAAAGAUAUUCUACUUGGAUCCCCGACCUUUACACUGGCCACGAUACAUAGAAAAUUAUUGUUUGGGUAUCAAACAGUUUAUAUUAAAUGAAGACAUGUCUGGCCUACCAGCAGCCAGAGCACACCUGAGGAAAUUGCGAAACAUUCGUUACACAUUCAACACAAUGUUGAUAGUCGUCUUCUGGCGAGUUCUUAUUGCCCGAUCAGAUUUGGCUCGCAAUCUCUGGUACCUGAUUAUGGGGCUUGUGUCUAAAUUUGUCAAGAACUUUUGGAUAACUAGCACACUACGGCAUUAAUAUUAUUGAAGUAAAAAAACAAAUAAGAUUGAGAUGAACAAAAAAUGUAAAAAGCCUUGAUACACACAUGAAUACACACACUCAUACACACACACACACACUCAAGCAUGCUCAUGCGCACAAAUUUAAUAAAAAAUGCAGUAUUUUUUUUUUAUUUAAAGACUAAGCUUUACUUCUUCAUUACUCUGUUUUCAACAAUUCAGGCCAUCCUUGUAACAGAUUCUACAGGACCUGUUUGCAAUAUUCAACCUGUAAUGCCACACAGAUUGUUGCUUAAAUUCUUUCUUCAUCUCUCUCUCUACACAUUCUGUCCAUGACACAAUGUAACUGUUUGCUCUGCUACUACUAACUUAAUACAGCUACUACUAUUAUUACUACUAUUAUUCUCUAAGACCGUUUACAAUUAACAAUUUUUUUAAACCUGAAAAUUAUUGUUACUAAUUAAAAUGUAAAGAAAAAUGUUUGGUUUCUAUAAGAAUGAACAGAGACUUUACUCAGAAAAUGAUUAUAGAAUAAACAUAAACAAAAAAAAUAAAAGGUAAAAUGGUUGUAACUUCAAA